GCCAGCUUGCUGGCGUUGUAGUUGAGCGACCUUGGGGUGUCAGUCUGGGUAAGUCGCAUGGAAAUGCGUGCCGUGGAGGGUGAGAGCCCCGUCCAUCCCAUUCAGGACACCCCGCACAAGGGCGUUUCAGACGAGUCGGGUAGCUUGGGAAUGCUGCUCUAAUUGGUGGUAAAUCUCAUCAAAGGCUAAAUAACGGUGGGAGACCGAUAGCGAACAAGUACCGUGAGGGAAAGAUGACAAGCACUUUGAAAAGAGGGUGAAAAGAGCCUGAAACCGUUACGGGGGAAGCGGAUCGCGUUGGCCUGGUGGCCGCCUGUGUGUUCAGCCUUCGGGUGCAUUGAUGCAGGUGGUUAUCCGUCGUGGCUUCUCGGUGGCCGAAUUUGGGCUGCUGGGGGGUGAGGGCUCCCUUCGGGUGAGGACGACGGAGUGACGACGCGAUACGACCCGUCUUGAAACACGGACCAAGGAGUCUAGCGCGGGUGCGAGUCGGAGGGUGUUAAAACCCGUGGGCGAAGUGAAAGCGAGUGUAAAAACGAGCAGUUUGAGGCGGCAUAGAAUCGUUGAUUCUAGGUCCGACCUUGAGCAGUUGCGCUGGGACCCGAAAGAUGGUGAACUAUGCCGGAGUAGGGCAAAGCCAGAAGAAAUUCUGGUGGAGGCUCGUAGCGGUGCUGACGUGCAAAUCGCUCGUCGAACUUGGGUAUAGGGGCGAAAGACUAAUCGAACCAUCUAGUAGCUGGUUCCCUCCGAAGUUUCUCUCAGGAUAGCGGGCCGACAAGUUGUUUUGUGCGGUAAAGCGAAUGAUUAGCGCAUUCGGGGCCGUUUAGGCUUUGGGCGAUUCUCAAACUUUCAAUGCGCAAGGGUACCGGUGCUUUGUUGAGCGGUACCGAUAAAAACGUCGGCCUUGUGGGCCACUUUUGGUAAGCAGAACUGGCGAUACGGGAUGAACCGUAAGCAUGGUUAAGGUGCCAAACUGCCUGCCGAAUGAAUUAGCCCUGAAAAUGGAUGGCGCUUAAGCGGGCGACCGACACCAUGCCGUCUGUAAAAUAAAUCAGAUGAGUAGGAGGGCGUGGCGGCCGUGUCGAAGCGCGCCUGCAGAGGCGUGUGGAACGGCCGCUAGUGCAGAUCUUGGUGGUAGUAGCAAAUAUUCAAGCGAGAUCCUUGAAGGGCGAAGCGGGGAAGGGUUCCACGCGAACAUUGAUUGGGCGUGGGUGAGUCGUUCCUAAGCCGAGUGGCGAUUGCUAAGUAGCGGCGAAAGGGAAGCGGGUUGACAUUCCCGCACACGGAUGUGGAGGCGGCGACGCUUUAUUGGGGCGAACACGCUGGCGGUGGCGCUGGGCAGAGUUGUCUUUUCUGUUUGACCGCUGAUGCACGCGGUGUGGAAUCCGCUUGUCGGGAGAAACACGCGUGUACGGGCAGAGCGCCGGGGCUUUUCCGGCGUCCAGCUCGCCACCGACGGCCCUUGAAACUUUGCCUGCUGGUAUUUUAAGAUCCACGCCGUGGCGUACCGAUCACCGCAUCAGGUCCCCGAGGUGAACAGCCUCUGCUCAAUAUGAAAAAUGCAGGUAAGGGAAGUCGGCAAAUUGGACCCGUAACUUUGGGAAAAGGGUUGGCUCUAGUGCUGCGUGGGAGUGGUUGUCGGGUGUUGGUAUGUUUAGGCUUGCUGAGCGAGCGCGGGCCUUCGGGACUGUGUUUGUUCGGCGAGCCCGGAUGUGCCACGCUCGACGACGCCCACAGCAUGCAGCAGACUAGAACUGCAACGGGCAAAGGGAAUCCNNNUGUUUAAUUAAAACAAAGCAUUGCGAAGGCCGUGGCCGGUGAUGACGCAAUGUGAUUUCUGCUCAGUGCUCUGAAUGUCAAAGUGAAGAGAUUCAAUCAAGCGCGGGUAAACAGCGGGAGUAACUAUGACUCUCUUAAGGUAGCCAAAUGCCUCGUCAUCUAAUUAGUGACGCGCAUGAAUGGAUUAACGAGAUUCCUACUGUCCCUAUCUGCUUCUAGCGAAACCACAGCCGAGGGAACGGGCUCGGCGAAAUCGGCGGGGAAAGAAGACCCUGUUGAGCUUGACUCUAUUCUAAUUUUGUGAAGCAAGCUGGGAGGUGUAGCAUAGGUGGGAGACUUCGGUCGUCCGUGAAAUACCACUACUCCCAGUCUUGCUUUACUUACUGGGUGGGUGUGGAUGAGUCUUACGACUCUUUUCUGGAACCAACUCAAUUUAAUUUGAGGACCACAGCCCAGUACACAUUUAGGAGGGGAGUUUGGCUGGGGCGGUACAUCUUCUACAAGACAACGAAGGUGUCCAAAGAUAAGCUCAGUGAGAACAGAAAUCUCACGUAGCGCAAAAGGGUAAAAGCUUGUUUGAUUUUGAUUUUCAGUGCGAGUCAAAAACGCGAAAGCGUGGCCUAUCGAUCCUUUCACGAUUCGAGAUUUGAAGCGAGAGGUGUCAGAAA
rnacentral:rRNA from 1 species